rnacentral:rRNA from 1 species
CCUGGCUAGGAUGAACGCUAGCGGCAGGCUUAACACAUGCAAGUCGAGGGGCAUCGGGAGUAGCAAUACUGCCGGCGACCGGCGCAAGGGUGCGUAACGCGUGAGCAACAUGCCCGUAUCAGGGGGAUAAUCCAUGGAAACGUGGUCUAAUACCCCAUAGUAAUUAUGUAAGGCAUCUUAUAUAAUUUAAAGCUUUGGUGGAUACGGAUUGGCUCGCGUGACAUUAGCUAGAUGGUAAGGUAACGGCUUACCAUGGCUACGAUGUCUAGGGGUUCUGAGAGGAAGGUCCCCCACACUGGAACUGAGACACGGUCCAGACUCCUACGGGAGGCAGCAGUGAGGAAUAUUGGACAAUGGAUGGAAAUCUGAUCCAGCCAUGCCGCGUGCAGGAAGACGGCCCUAUGGGUUGUAAACUGCUUUUGUAUGGGAGCAAUAAGGGCUACGUGUAGUCCGAUGAGAGUACCAUACGAAUAAGCACCGGCUAACUCCGUGCCAGCCGCUGC